rnacentral:rRNA from 1 species
GCCCAGCACCGAAUCCUUCAUCAUUCUGGUGACAGGAAAUGUGGUGUUUAGGCCGUACUUUGUGCUGAUUCGUCUUACCUCAAGUCCACUUGAUUGUGGCCCCAGGCCCAGAGAGGGUGUAAGGCCCGUUGAGGUGAGAUGUUCAGUACCUGGUGCGUCCUUAGAGUCGGGUUGUUUGGGAAUGCAGCCCUAAGCGGGUGGUAAACUCCAUCCAAGGCUAAAUACCAGCACGAGUCCGAUAGCGAAGAAGUACCGCGAGGGAAGGUUGAAAAGAACUUUGAAGAGAGAGUUCAAGAGUACGUGAAACCGCUGAGAGGCAAACUGGUGGAACUGAAAUGGCCUCGAGGAAUUCAGCCGUUGGUGGAGGCACACCUGUUGGUGUCUGAUUUAACGACAGCUCCAGCAGUUGACGUCUCUAUCAUAGGUGCACUUUCCUCGUUUGGGCCGGACCACGACCGGUGAGCUGAUUUGUCUGUCGUGCCUGGAAGGUAGCGCUUUCUUCGGAUAGCGUGUUAUAGACAGGUGCAUGGUCAAGCGGCGCACUGGAUGAUAAUGCCUGCCCUUUUGGGCUCAUAUGUUGGCUGUUGUGUGGGCGAGUAUCGAUUUCACUACUUCGGUAGAGGCGUUGGUCUCUGUUCGCUUUACAGUCGGCCUCUAUGAUUGGCAUUGGUAAGUCUGUGGUUUUUUAGUAGGUAGUCCACCUGACCCGUCUUGAAACACGGACCAAGGAGUCUAACAUGUGCGCGAGUCAUUGGGUUUACGAAACCUAAAGGCGCAGUGAAGGUAAAGAUCUGCUUUUUGCAGGUUGAGGUGGGAUGCUGGGUCACGCGCCCGGCCGCACUACCGGCCCGUUCUACUUGUAUCUCAAGGGAGCGGAGCAAGAGCGUACACGUUGGGACCCGAAAGAUGGUGAACUAUGCUUGCGCAGGUCGAAGCCAGAGGAAACUC